GUUUACUCAAAAAAGCUAAAUAAAUUGUUUUUUUUGAUUAAACAAAAAUAACAAUUUAUUUAGCUUUUUUGAGUAAACAAAAUUGGAAGUGAAUCAACCUAUUCUAAAUUCGACAUCAAAUAUAUCAGAUAACAAUCCUCGUGGAGUUAUAUGAAAGAUCAAGUAAAGAGGCAUGAAUUGAAGAUUAGUGAUUGUUGUAUGUCACACACAAUGCUGCAGAUCAACUCCUCCUCAGCUAGUUUUCCAGCAUCAUAUACUUUUUCAAACUUUAAACUGUUUUGGAGUAGUCAGCAGCAACACUGAAGGCAGAAACCACACCAGCCAUCCCAACUACCUGUGUCCAACUUCGUGUCCCGGCAGCAACAGCUGCCCCUGCCAUAGCACCCGCAAUUAAAGCAUUCACCCAGUCAUCCUUUUUCCUGUAUCUUUCAAUUCCACAACGGGAAAAAGUAAAAACUCCAGCAACAAGCCCACAUUGAAAGCCGAAUUUUCCGAUUGACUUUGCAACGAAGGAAGUACGAGCUUUGCCACUCAAGCCUCUUUUGCGUGCAUCGUACGGACCUACGCAUGAGCCCCAUAUCCCCCCUGCCGUUCCUACUCGAAGGAUGGAAUCAACGGCGAGCGAAGAGCACGGAAGGACGCCGUUGAGCUCCUCUUCCAUC
rnacentral:misc_RNA from 1 species